GCUGGCGGCGUGCUUAACACAUGCAAGUCGAACGCGAAAGUUUCCUUCGGGAAGCGAGUAGAGUGGCGCACGGGUGAGUAACACGUGGAUAAUCUGCCCGAUGACCUGGGAUAACACUUCGAAAGAGGUGCUAAUACCGGAUAAGCCCACAGGCUCUUUGGAGCUUGCGGGAAAAGGUGGGGACCUUCGGGCCUACCGUCAUCGGAUGAGUCCGCGGCCCAUUAGCUAGUUGGUGGGGUAACGGCCUACCAAGGCGACGAUGGGUAGCUGGUCUGAGAGGAUGAUCAGCCACACUGGAACUGAGACACGGUCCAGACUCCUACGGGAGGCAGCAGUGGGGAAUUUUGCGCAAUGGGGGAAACCCUGACGCAGCAACGCCGCGUGAGUGAUGAAGGCUUUCGGGUCGUAAAGCUCUGUCAGAGGGGAAGAAACUACUGUGGUCGAAUAGGUCGCGGUACUGACGGUACCCUCAAAGGAAGCACCGGCUAACUCCGUGCCAGCAGCCGCGGUAAUACGGAGGGUGCAAGCGUUGUUCGGAAUUAUUGGGCGUAAAGCGCGUGUAGGCGGUCUGUUAAGUCUGAUGUGAAAGCCCCGGGCUCAACCCGGGAAGUGCAUUGGAUACUGGCAGACUUGAGUAC
rnacentral:rRNA from 1 species